rnacentral:rRNA from 1 species
GACGAACGCUGGCGGCGUGCCUAAUACAUGCAAGUCGAGCGAUGAAGAUUGGUGCUUGCACCAAUUUGAAGAGCAGCGAACGGGUGAGUAACGCGUGGGGAAUCUGCCUUUGAGCGGGGGACAACAUUUGGAAACGAAUGCUAAUACCGCAUAACAACUUUAAACAUAAGUUUUAAGUUUGAAAGAUGCAAUUGCAUCACUCAAAGAUGAUCCCGCGUUGUAUUAGCUAGUUGGUGAGGUAAAGGCUCACCAAGGCGAUGAUACAUAGCCGACCUGAGAGGGUGAUCGGCCACAUUGGGACUGGGACACGGCCCAAACUCCUACGGGAGGCAGCAGUAGGGAAUCUUCGGCAAUGGACGAAAGUCUGGCCGGGCAACGCCGCGUGAGUGAAGAAGGUUUUCGGAUCGUAAAACUCUGUUGGUAGAGAAGAACGUUGGUGAGAGUGGAAAGCUCAUCAAGUGACGGUAACUACCCAGAAAGGGACGGCUAACUACGUG